CAGACUCACGGUUAUAACUACCAUAACUACCGUGGACGAGUAAAUGUACCAAAUUUAGCUUCAUUGUGGUGUGAAUAAAUACAAGACUGGAGGCGAUUUCUGAGGCUCCGCUCCUCGCUUGAUGGCGGCGGCGGUGGUGGCGAUGGCGAUGGCGGUGGUGGUGGUGUUCUGAAGGUGUUUCCCGCCUCCUCUGUACACUCCUGCUUGCCUCAACCCAGUCUCCGGAAGCGUCUGGCUGAGCUAUGGCCCCUUGUUUUGGCUGACGGCGGCCCGACCCACGCUCUCCCUCGCAGCGGGUCUCACUCCCUGUUCCGCCGCCGAGGAGCCAGUCAGGUAACGGGCGAUUCUACGGUUCCUGUACACUUCCUGCCUCGCAAUAUCCGGGUACAAAAUCACAGGUACACUAGAGGAGCGUAGCAAGACCCGCCUGUCCCACCACACACUUGAGGCACAAAAAAAGCCCUGCAAGACCACCACCUCCACCACCACCACAUGUAAACAGACCACUGACGCACCAAGUGGGGAGGCUGACAAAACAUUCCGCGCAAGCUCUCCAAACACUGUAUCAUAACCUACUAAUUGCCAGCUGCGGGGGAACAGUGCGGAACUCAAGCAAAAGAAGAGUGUCUUCCUAUUGUCCCGAUGGGUUAAGGGAAGCUGUUUCAUCGCAUCCAAGAUCUGGCCUGAGCAGUCAAUUCAGAGCUACGAGGUAUAUCGGCUUUGAGUACCGUGAUUGCUUCAUGAAGUGGCGAAGGAAGAUGGAACGCUGCAAACAGGCAAGAGGAGGGGAGUACUUUGAAGGAAUGUAAGCUACUAUUUAGAUCUACGUCUGUACUGUGAAAAUAUAUGGUCUCACUGUCA